rnacentral:rRNA from 1 species
GAUGAACGCUGGCGGCGUGCUUAACACAUGCAAGUCGAACGGGAAACCUUUUAUUGAAGCUUCGGCAGAUUUCGCUGGUUUCUAGUGGCGGACGGGUGAGUAACGCGUGGGUAACCUGCCCUAUACAGGGGGAUAACAACCAGAAAUGGUUGCUAAUACCGCAUAAGCGCACAGGGCCGCAUGGUCCGGUGUGAAAAACUCCGGUGGUAUAGGAUGGACCCGCGUUGGAUUAGCCAGUUGGCAGGGUAACGGCCUACCAAAGCGACGAUCCAUAGCCGGCCUGAGAGGGUGAACGGCCACAUUGGGACUGAGACACGGCCCAGACUCCUACGGGAGGCAGCAGUGGGGAAUAUUGCACAAUGGGGGAAACCCUGAUGCAGCGACGCCGCGUGAAGGAAGAAGUAUCUCGGUAUGUAAACUUCUAUCAGCAGGGAAGAUAGUGACGGUACCUGACUAAGAAGCCCCGGCUAACUACGUG